GGACUACAAGGGUUUCUAAUCCUGUUUGCUCCCCACGCUGUCGCGCCUCAGUGUCAGCAACUGCCCAGCUAACCGCCUUCGCCACCGGUGUUCUUCCGGAUCUCUACGCAUUCCACCGCUACACCCGGAAUUCCAUUAGCCUCUACAGUGCUCCAGCCUCGCAGUAUCAAGGGCCGACUCGGCGUUGAGCGCCGAGCUUUCACCAUCGACUUGCGACGCCACCUACGCGCCCUUUACGCCCAGUGAUUCCGGACAACGCUCGCACCCUCUGUAUUACCGCGGCUGCUGGCAC
rnacentral:rRNA from 1 species